rnacentral:lncRNA from 1 species
AGAAGGACAUGUUUGCCUCCCCUUCUACCAUGAUUGUAAGUUUUCUGAGGCCUCCCCAGACCUGCAGAAUUCAAACGUUGGGUGGAUUAUACUCAUUUUCUUUUCUUGAGGUGAAUAAUUUUCUGAUGGCCUUGAACUGAAAACUGAUGUCCCAUCUGGAAGAAGAGUGCAAUAAUGCUUCCUGUCCCCCUAUUGUGACAUCGCUUUAAUCAUCACAUAUGUAACAGCACAUAGGCUACACACACCUAAGUGGCUGUUAUUUGCUAGUGUUCCUCAAGAUCUGUAACAUGAACAACUUAUAUAAGUGUCACCUGUGGAGCUUGCCAAAAAUGCUUAUUCCAGGAAACUAUCCAGGUCUUUAAAAAAAUAAAUAAAUGUAUGGGG